UUCUAGCUCAGAAUGCUAUGUUGCCACUUCGUUUGGUUUCGUUGUCGUGUUUCUUUUCUCCUUCUUGAUUAUUCAAGUAAAUUCAAUCUUCUGCUUAUAACGUGUUCCGUCCCAAAACAUUCAAUCUUCUGCUUGGUAGGUUCUUUUUCUCGUUAUUCUUCUCGUUCUUCAUUAGUCUAAGAACAUUCGAUCAUUCGAUCUUCUGCUUGAGAAAAGAACCUUGAUUGAGGAAACAUUUUUUGUCCCAAAACAUUCAAUCUUCUGCGAAAAUAACCUUAAUUGAGGAGUGUUCUGUCUCAAAAAAUUCAAUCUUCUGCUUGGUAGGUUCUUUUUCUCGUUCUUCAUUAGUCAAGAACUGAGAAAAGAACCUUGAUUGAGGAAACAUUUUUUGUCUCAAAACAUUCAAUCUUCUGCUUGCUAGGUUCUUUUUCUCGUUCUUCAUUAGUCAAGAACUGAGAAAAGAACCUUGAUUGAGGAAACAUUUUUUGUCUCAAAACAUUCAAUCUUCUGCUUGCUAGGUUCUUUUUCUCGUUCUUCAUUAGUCAAGAACUGAGAAAAGAACCUUGAUUGAGGAAACAUUUUUUGUCUCAAAACAUUCAAUCUUCUGCUUGCUAGGUUCUUUUUCUCGUUCUUCAUUAGUCAAGAACUGAGAAAAGAACCUUGAUUGAGGAAACAUUUUUUGUCUCAAAACAUUCAAUCUUCUGCUUGCUAGGUUCUUUUUCUCGUUCUUCAUUAGUCAAGAACUGAGAAAAGAACCUUGAUUGAGGAAACAUUUUUUGUCUCAAAACAUUCAAUCUUCUGCUUGCUAGGUUCUUUUUCUCGUUCUUCAUUAGUCAAGAACUGAGAAAAGAACCUUGAUUGAGGAAACAUUUUUUGUCUCAAAACAUUCAAUCUUCUGCUUGCUAGGUUCUUUUUCUCGUUCUUCAUUAGUCAAGAACUGAGAAAAGAACCUUGAUUGAGGAAACAUUUUUUGUCUCAAAACAUUCAAUCUUCUGCUUGCUAGGUUCUUUUUCUCGUUCUUCAUUAGUCAAGAACUGAGAAAAGAACCUUGAUUGAGGAAACAUUUUUUGUCUCAAAACAUUCAAUCUUCUGCUUGCUAGGUUCUUUUUCUCGUUCUUCAUUAGUCAAGAACUGAGAAAAGAACCUUGAUUGAGGAAACAUUUUUUGUCUCAAAACAUUCAAUCUUCUGCUUGGUAGGUUCUUUUUCUCGUUCUUCAUUAGUCAAGAACUGAGAAAAAGAACCUUGAUUGAGGAAACAAUUUUUGUCUCAAAACAUUCAAUCUUCUGCUUGCUAGGUUCUUUUUCUCGUUCUUCAUUAGUCAAGAACUGAGAAAAGAACCUUGAUUGAGGAAACAUUUUUUGUCUCAAAACAUUCAAUCUUCUGCUUGCUAGGUUCUUUUUCUCGUUCUUCAUUAGUCAAGAACUGAGAAAAGAACCUUGAUUGAGGAAACAUUUUUUGUCUCAAAACAUUCAAUCUUCUGCUUGCUAGGUUCUUUUUCUCGUUCUUCAUUAGUCAAGAACUGAGAAAAGAACCUUGAUUGAGGAAACAUUUUUUGUCCCAAAACAUUCAAUCUUCUGCUUGCUAGGUUCUUUUUCUCGUUCUUCAUUAGUCAAGAACUGAGAAAAGAACCUUGAUUGAGGAAACAUUUUUUAUCCCAAAACAUUCAAUCUUCUGCUUGCUAGGGUCUUUUUCUCGUUCUUCAUUAGUCAAGAACUGAGAAAAGAACCUUGAUCGAGGAAACAUUUUUUGUAUCAAAACAUUCAAUCUUCUGCAAAAAUAACCUUAAUUGAGGAAACAUGUUAUGUCCCAAAAUCCAAUUUGGUACCAAGAUUUUGAAAGAAUUUUUUUUUUUACCAUCAAGGAGUUAUACAUGAUUUUGGAAUAUUCAUUCCCGUUCUUGAUUAUUCAAGAAUAUUCAAUCUUUUGCUUGAGAAAAAAAAAGACCCUUUCAUUUUUUAAUCAAAAUUUAUUAGGGUAUACAAACCCUUAAAGACCGUGAAUCACUGAAAGGUGGGAUUUUUUUCCAUAAAAGCGGUGAAAUUCAUGGUCCGUAGCUCUAACCUGCAUGAAUGUUGCUACUGUAAAAUUGGAAUUUUUGUUCCAUCAUAUUUGCAUCGAUGCCUAUUGGAAAACUAUUUUUCUCAUUUUUGUUCGUCGAAGAACAUUCAAUCUUCUGCAUGAAAAAAUAAAGAACCUUAACUGAGCAAAUGUGUUCUGUCCCAAGACACUCUUUGGCCCAAAUAUUUCAAAAUGAUUUUUAAAUUGAGUUUUGCACCAUUUUAGAAUUUUCAAACAACUUUGUAUGUCUGGUUUUUUUGAUACCUAUUAGGAACGAUAUUGGGCUACUCACUUUAUGGUUCUUGAUAUAUUCAAGACCUUCAAUCUUCUGCUUAAAAAACCAGAAAACCUUCCAUUUUGUAAAUCAAAAUUUAACAGGUUAUACAAAACCUGAAAGACUGAAUCAUUGCAAUAUGAAAUCUGUUUUCAUAAAAAGGGGUAUAUAUCCCACAUGCAGAAAGCAGUGGAUAAACUUUGGUGUAUAGAUUUUGUAAGUGAUGGAUGCCUCAAUGACCCUAUAGGGAAAAUGCAUUAUGAUCUCCUUCAUAAUGUAAGAAAUACAAGUUUGAUUUGAUAAGUGAAAUGAAAUCUGAAUGUCUUGAUGGCCCAAAAAUAUGAUGGAUGAUGCCUUAAAAAUAAAAGCUAGUUGCUGCCUAUAUACAAUUUUAUUAUGUUUUUAGUCAAAGUGUAAAGCAUGGAUGGAUAAUUUGAGAUCUUUUGUCUGGACGACCCUAGUCCCUUUGCAACUGCAAUGUGAGGUGUUUUUCUUAGUGUUGUAUAUGUCCCAAAUGCAGAAAGCAGUGGAUAUACUUUGGUCUAUAGAUUUUGUAAGUGAUGGAUGCCUCAAUGACCCUAGAGGGAAAAUGCAUUAUGAUCUCCUUAUUCAUAAUGUAAGGAAUACAAGUUUGAUUUGAUAAGUGAAAUGAAAUCUGAAUGUCUUGAUGGCCCAAAAAUAUGAUGGAUGAUGCCUUAAAAAUGAAAGCUAGUUGCUGCCUUAUAUACAAUUUUAUUACGUUUUUGUUCAAAAUGUAAAGCAUGGGUGGAUAAUUUGAUAUGUUUUGUCUUGACGACCCUAGUCCCUUUGCAACUGCAAUGUGAUGUGUUUUUCUUAGUGUUGUAUAUGUCCCAAAUGCAGAAAGCAGUGGAUGGAUAUACUUUGGUCUAUAGAUUUUGUAAGUGAUGGAUGCCUCAACGACCCUAGAGGCAAAAUGCAUUAUGAUCUCCUUAUUCAUAAUGUAAGGAAUACAAGUUUGAUUUGAUAAGUGAAAUGAAAUCUGAAUGUCUUGAUGGCCUAGAAAUAUGAUGGAUGAUGCCUUAAAAAUGAAAGCUAGUUGCUGCCUUAUAUACAAUUUUAUUACGUUUUUGUUCAAAAUGUAAAGCAUGGGUGGAUAAUUUGAUAUCUUUUGUCUUGACGACCCUAGUCCCUUUGCAACUGCAAUGUGAGGUGUUUUUCUUAGUGUUGUAUAUGUCCCAAAUGCAGAAAGCAGUGGAUAUACUUUGGUCUAUAGAUUUUGUAAGUGAUGGAUGCCUCAACGACCCUAGAGGGAAAAUGCAUUAUGAUCUCCUUAUUCAUAAUGUAAGGAAUACAAGUUUGAUUUGAUAAGUGAAAUGAAAUCUGAAUGUCUUGAUGGCCUAGAAAUAUGAUGGAUGAUGCCUUAAAAAUGAAAGCUAGUUGCUGCCUUAUAUACAAUUUUAUUACGUUUUUGUUCAAAAUGUAAAGCAUGGGUGGAUAAUUUGAUAUCUUUUGUCUUGACGACCCUAGUCCCUUUGCAACUGCAAUGUGAGGUGUUUUUCUUAGUGUUGUAUAUGUCCCAAAUGCAGAAAGCAGUGGAUAUACUUUGGUCUAUAGAUUUUGUAAGUGAUGGAUGCCUCAACGACCCUAGAGGGAAAAUGCAUUAUGAUCUCCUUAUUCAUAAUGUAAGGAAUACAAGUUUGAUUUGAUAAGUGAAAUGAAAUCUGAAUGUCUUGAUGGCCUAGAAAUAUGAUGGAUGAUGCCUUAAAAAUGAAAGCUAGUUGCUGCCUUAUAUACAAUUUUAUUACGUUUUUGUUCAAAAUGUAAAGCAUGGGUGGAUAAUUUGAUAUCUUUUGUCUUGACGACCCUAGUCCCUUUGCAACUGCAAUGUGAGGUGUUUUUCUUAGUGUUGUAUAUGUCCCAAAUGCAGAAAGCAGUGGAUAUACUUUGGUCUAUAGAUUUUGUAAGUGAUGGAUGCCUCAACGACCCUAGAGGGAAAAUGCAUUAUGAUCUCCUUAUUCAUAAUGUAAGGAAUACAAGUUUGAUUUGAUAAGUGAAAUGAAAUCUGAAUGUCUUGAUGGCCUAGAAAUAUGAUGGAUGAUGCCUUAAAAAUGAAAGCUAGUUGCUGCCUUAUAUACAAUUUUAUUACGUUUUUGUUCAAAAUGUAAAGCAUGGGUGGAUAAUUUGAUAUCUUUUGUCUUGACGACCCUAGUCCCUUUGCAACUGCAAUGUGAGGUGUUUUUCUUAGUGUUGUAUAUGUCCCAAAUGCAGAAAGCAGUGGAUAUACUUUGGUCUAUAGAUUUUGUAAGUGAUGGAUGCCUCAACGACCCUAGAGGGAAAAUGCAUUAUGAUCUCCUUAUUCAUAAUGUAAGGAAUACAAGUUUGAUUUGAUAAGUGAAAUGAAAUCUGAAUGUCUUGAUGGCCUAGAAAUAUGAUGGAUGAUGCCUUAAAAAUGAAAGCUAGUUGCUGCCUUAUAUACAAUUUUAUUACGUUUUUGUUCAAAAUGUAAAGCAUGGGUGGAUAAUUUGAUAUCUUUUGUCUUGACGACCCUAGUCCCUUUGCAACUGCAAUGUGAGGUGUUUUUCUUAGUGUUGUAUAUGUCCCAAAUGCAGAAAGCAGUGGAUAUACUUUGGUCUAUAGAUUUUGUAAGUGAUGGAUGCCUCAACGACCCUAGAGGGAAAAUGCAUUAUGAUCUCCUUAUUCAUAAUGUAAGGAAUACAAGUUUGAUUUGAUAAGUGAAAUGAAAUCUGAAUGUCUUGAUGGCUUAGAAAUAUGAUGGAUGAUGCCUUCAAAAUGAAAGCUAGUUGCUGCCUUAUAUACAAUUUUAUUACGUUUUUGUUCUAAAUGUAAAGCAUGGGUGGAUAAUUUGAUAUCUUUUGUCUUGACGACCCUAGUCCCUUUGCAACUGCAAUGUGAGGUGUUUUUCUUAGUGUUGUAUAUGUCCCAAAUGCAGAAAGCAGUGGAUAUACUUUGGUCUAUAGAUUUUGUAAGUGAUGGAUGCCUCAACGACCCUAGAGGGAAAAUGCAUUAUGAUCUCCUUCAUAAUGUAAGAAAUACAAGUUUGAUUUGAUAAGUGAAAUGAAAUCUGAAUGUCUUGAUGGCCUAGAAAUAUGAUGGAUGAUGCCUUAAAAAUAAAAGCUAGUUGCUGCCUUAUAUACAAUUUUAUUACGUUUUUGUUCAAAAUGUAAAGCAUGGGUGGAUAAUUUGAUAUCUUUUGUCGUGACGACCCUAGUCCCUUUGCAACUGCAAUGUGAGGUGUUUUUCUUAGUGUUGUAUAUGUCCCAAAUGCAGAAAGCAGUGGAUAUACUUUGGUCUAUAGAUUUUGUAAGUGAUGGAUGCCUCAACGACCCUAGAGGGAAAAUGCAUUAUGAUCUCCUUAUUCAUAAUGUAAGGAAUACAAGUUUGAUUUGAUAAGUGAAAUGAAAUCUGAAUGUCUUGAUGGCCUAGAAAUAUGAUGGAUGAUGCCUUAAAAAUGAAAGCUAGUUGCUGCCUUAUAUACAAUUUUAUUACGUUUUUGUUCUAAAUGUAAAGCAUGGGUGGAUAAUUUGAUAUCUUUUGUCUUGACGACCCUAGUCCCUUUGCAACUGCAAUGUGAGGUGUUUUUCUUAGUGUUGUAUAUGUCCCAAAUGCAGAAAGCAGUGGAUAUACUUUGGUCUAUAGAUUUUGUAAGUGAUGGAUGCCUCAACGACCCUAGAGGCAAAAUGCAUUAUGAUCUCCUUAUUCAUAAUGUAAGGAAUACAAGUUUGAUUUGAUAAGUGAAAUGAAAUCUGAAUGUCUUGAUGGCCUAGAAAUAUGAUGGAUGAUGCCUUAAAAAUGAAAGCUAGUUGCUGCCUUAUAUACAAUUUUAUUACGUUUUUGUUCAAAAUGUAAAGCAUGGGUGGAUAAUUUGAUAUCUUUUGUCUUGACGACCCUAGUCCCUUUGCAACUGCAAUGUGAGGUGUUUUUCUUAGUGUUGUAUAUGUCCCAAAUGCAGAAAGCAGUGGAUAUACUUUGGUCUAUAGAUUUUGUAAGUGAUGGAUGCCUCAAUGACCCUAUAGGGAAAAUGCAUUAUGAUCUCCUUAUUCAUAAUGUAAGGAAUACAAGUUUGAUUUGAUAAGUGAAAUGAAAUCUGAAUGUCUUGAUGGCCUAGAAAUAUGAUGGAUGAUGCCUUAAAAAUGAAAGCUAGUUGCUGCCUUAUAUACAAUUUUAUUACGUUUUUGUUCUAAAUGUAAAGCAUGGGUGGAUAAUUUGAUAUCUUUUGUCUUGACGACCCUAGUCCCUUUGCAACUGCAAUGUGAGGUGUUUUUCUUAGUGUUGUAUAUGUCCCAAAUGCAGAAAGCAGUGGAUAUACUUUGGUCUAUAGAUUUUGUAAGUGAUGGAUGCCUCAAUGACCCUAGAGGGAAAAUGCAUUAUGAUCUCCUUAUUCAUAAUGUAAGGAAUACAAGUUUGAUUUGAUAAGUGAAAUGAAAUCUGAAUGUCUUGAUGGCCUAGAAAUAUGAUGGAUGAUGCCUUAAAAAUGAAAGCUAGUUGCUGCCUUAUAUACAAUUUUAUUAUGUUUUUAUUCAAAAUGAAAAGCAUGGAUGGAUAAUUUGAUGUCUUUUGUCUUGACGACCCUAGUCCCUUUGCAACUGCAAUGUGAGGUGAUUUUGCAGAUGAAUACAUUGUGAACUGUGACCACCAUUUGGGGGAUAACAGUCAACUUUUUCUUAGUGUUGUGUUUUGAUUGUCUUUAUGCUAGCUCUUAUCACUUAUGACAGAGUUAUAUUUCUGGUGUUAUGUAUCUAGUUGGUUAAAGCAUGAGAGUUGAACCGUAAGUAUCUACUUGUAAAUGUGUUCACUACGUAAUGCUUUUCUAAUUGAGGUUGGACAUGAGGGAUUAGCCUACCUGUUAUUGUUGGAUUGUCUUGGCUGUUAUUUGGAAAAAAUAUUAAAUAUUCUCAGUGGAAUCAUAAAAUGAGCUAUUUUUGUUGUUGAGUGGAAGGGAAAAGUGCCAUGGAGUGGAAAAUUAUUUGGAUUUAUGCCAUCUCUCAAAUUUAAUUAAGAUAGAGGUGUAUACAGCAUUGUUUGCAUAUGUUGGAUAUGGUAUGUUUUAGUGUAGUUCAAUGUCCCCUUUGAUUUUUGGUAGACACGAGGAUAGAUUCAAAUCUAACGAAACUGUAUUUUAUAAAAGUAGUCCCAUCCCUAGUAAAGAUUUUUCUGCAAAUUGAUACACCGGCUUGCUUAAUAUUCUCUAAUAAAUUAAAUAAAUGAUAUGAUCUGCAAUCUGUUGCUUGUAGUUUACUUCAGCUUGAUGAGAUAAAAUUAUCUGGUGAUCAGCAAUUCAAGCUUUUUUUUUUUAGUAUAAUUGUUUGUGUUGGUUUUAUGAGCUCAUACAUGGUUGCAUUAGUUUCAAUUAAUAGCAUAUUCUUAUAUAUAGAGGAGCUUUGUUCAACAAAGCACGCUAGGGAUAGAGAUUAAGGAACAGUAACAGGUGCUGGGGUUUUUUCUUGAAAGAAUCACAACUAUCAAGGUUGAUUUGUUUACCAUGCACGCUUUUUAGGCCAUGAGUAAAUGUGUGAAUUUUUUUUUAUUUUAAUAUCAGCUAUAACUCCAAGUGCAGCUCUGAAUGGAGUAAAAGCAAGCAAUCAAGUCAUUCUAUAUUUUUUAUUCUGGUCAUAUAUUGCAAUUUUAGUGUGUAAAUAUUGCUCUAUUAUCUUAUUUUAGAAGUCAAGAUAUCCAAGACUCAGUAAUGAUAAAAUACAAGAUGAUUUUGUCAUGAACUAUUAGUAAAAAGUAGUAAGUAUACACCUCUAUCUUAAAUUUGAGAGGAAUUCUCAAAAUUUUCAGUUAAGUAUGCACCUCUAUCUUAUAUUUGUCUGAUGUCAUCUCUCAAAGCUAAGGUAAAUUUUCAGUUAUACAAGUUGAUUUGGGCUAAUGCAGCCAUUGUGUGUACUAAGUUGUAAUGAUCAUAUCAUACAUGUGAAAUCUUCACAAUAUUGCAGCCUGCUGCAAUUUCAGUAUAAACACACCUAUCCAGCCUUGUUUCUCCACUGAUUUUCCUAAUGCCAAGGUAUAAUUAUACCAUAGUGCAGCUUUAUCAUCCGUGCCAAAGUGUUGUCCCCAGAACAUCACAGUGUCACCUAGCUACUAUCUCUAGGUGAUAAACAAGUGGUAGUCUUAAUAGAUUUGGAGCAUCCAACAAUUUUAUUUCUUCUGUUAGUCAAAGAAGGAAGAUAGGAACUAGAAGAAAUAUAAUACUAUGUUGUAGUAGGAGAUGGUAGAAAAAUUCCAUGUGAGGGAUGUGUCCCCAAUUGAAGUUACUCAUGCAAGGAAUGGAGAUACAACAAGAUUUCUUCAUUUUUGAAUUAGGGGGUGACCAGGAAUAUAUCAUGUGGUGAAGGGAGGACCAAAAUUAGCACGAGCAGCAGCUUCAUUCAAAUCCAAUAUGAAGGCAAACAGAGAUGAAGGCCAGGGUAUUUCCUUGGUAUACCAGAGUUUGGAAGGGGGACUAGAGACCAACACCCCUUGGCCGACAUGGUUGGAUGUUGUCCUGAGUAAAUUUGAAGUUUUUCAAAAACCACAAGGAUUACCUUCAUCUAGAAGACAUGAUCAUGCAAUUGUUCUUAAAGAAGAAGGGAUAUUCCAAAUCUCAGGCCUAACAUAUGUCCACAAUGAGAUUGAAAGGUUAGUCGAUGAUAUACUUAGUUCUAGCAUCCUUAGACCUAGUGAGUCAUCUUUAGUCCCCAUCAUUUUGCUAUCCACACUAUUUUGUUCUUUUUGCAUACUAAGAUUUGUUAUGUCGUACAAUAUUGCAUAAUUUAUAUAUGCCUGCAUAAAUAUGAUUAUGAGAGGUUUUGUUAUAA